UACGGGAGGCAGCAGUGGGGAAUAUUGCACAAUGGGCGCAAGCCUGAUGCAGCCAUGCCGCGUGUAUGAAAAAGGCCUUCGGGUUGUAAAGUACUUUCAGUCGUGAGGAAGGUGUUAAGGUUAAUAACCUUAGCAAUUGACGUUAGCGACAAAAGAAGCACCGGCUAACUCCGUGCCAGCAGCCGCGGUAAUACGGAGGGUGCGAGCGUUAAUCGGAAUUACUGGGCGUAAAGGGCACGCAGGCGGUUAAUUAAGUUGGAUGUGAAAUCCCCGGGCUUAACCUGGGAAUGGCAUUCAAGACUGGUUAGCUAGAGUCUUGUAGAGGGGGUAGAAUUCCAUGUGUAGCGGUGAAAUGCGUAGAGAUGUGGAGGAAUACCGGUGGCGAAGGCGGCCCCUGGACAAAGACUGACGCUCAUGUGCGAAAGCGUGGGGAGCAAACAGGGAUUAGAUACC
rnacentral:rRNA from 1 species